rnacentral:ncRNA from 1 species
GGCUGGGGCGGCGCAUCUUUUAUAUGAUAACACAGGUGUCCUAAGGUGAGCUCAAUGAGAACAGAAAUCUCAUGUAGAACAAAAGGGUAAAAGCUGACUUGAUUUUGAUUUUCAGUAUGAAUACAAACCGUGAAAGCGUAA